GCGACUGUGAGAGCUGCCUGAAGAUGUGUCAUUCUUUGAUGAUGUCAUCAGUGAGAGCCCUCAGCUGAAUCAAGGCAUGGUCAGAGCUGCUGCGUUCUGCUCACGAUAAAGUGGGUCUUUAACGGCAUUGUCGUUUUACCCGACUCCAUAUGACCUCAAUAAAGGAGUACAAGUUUCAA